GUUAGCGGCGGACGGGUGAGUAACACGUGGGUAACCUACCUAUAAGACUGGGAUAACUCCGGGAAACCGGGGGCUAAUACCGGAUAAUAUUUUGAACCGCAUGGUUCAAUAGUGAAAGACGGUCUCGGCCGUCACUUAUAGAUGGACCCGCGCCGUAUUAGCUAGUUGGUAAGGUAACGGCUUACCAAGGCGACGAUACGUAGCCGACCUGAGAGGGUGAUCGGCCACACUGGAACUGAGACACGGUCCAGACUCCUACGGGAAGCAGCAGCA
rnacentral:rRNA from 1 species